UAACGGCGAGUGAAGCGGCAACAGCUCAAAUUUGAAAUCUGGCUCUCUUUGGGGGUCCGAGUUGUAAUUUGCAGAGGAUGCUUUGGCAUUGGCGGCGGUCUAAGUUCCUUGGAACAGGACAUCACAGAGGGUGAGAAUCCCGUACGUGGUCGCCUGCCUUUGCCGUGUAAAGCUCCUUCGACGAGUCGAGUUGUUUGGGAAUGCAGCUCUAAAUGGGAGGUAAAUUUCUUCUAAAGCUAAAUACUGGCCAGAGACCGAUAGCGCACAAGUAGAGUGAUCGAAAGAUGAAAAGUACUUUGGAAAGAGAGUCAAAAAGCACGUGAAAUUGUUGAAAGGGAAGCGCUUGCAGCCAGACUUGCCCGCAGUUGCUCACCUAGGCUUUCGCCAUGGGGCACUCUUCUGCGGGCAGGCCAGCAUCAGUUUGGGCGGUUGGAUAAAGGCCUCUGUCACGUAUCACCCUUCGGGGUGACCUUAUAGGGGAGGCGUAAUGCAACCAGCCCGGACUGAGGUCCGCGCAUCUGCUAGGAUGCUGGCGUAAUGGCUGUAAGCGGCCCGUCUUGAAACACGGACCAAGGAGUCUAACAUCUAUGCGAGUGUUUGGGUGUCAAGCCCGAGCGCGUAAUGAAAGUGAACGGAGGUGGGAACCUUUUAGGUGCACCAUCGACCGAUCCUGAUGUCUUCGGAUGGAUUUGAGUAAGAGCAUAGCUGUUGGGACCCGAAAGAUGGUGAACUAUGCUUGAAUAGGGUGAAGCCAGAGGAAACUCUGGUGGAGGCUCGCAGCGGUUCUGACGUGCAAAUCGAUCGUCAAAUUUGGGCAUAGGGGCGAAAGACUAAUCGAACCAUCUAGUAGCUGGUUCUG
rnacentral:rRNA from 1 species